rnacentral:rRNA from 1 species
UUAGGUGGCUAUAGCGGUGGGGUUCCACCUCUUCCCAUUCCGAACAGAGAAGUUAAGCUCACCAGCGCCGAUGGUACUGCAUUAUUUGUGGGAGAGUAGGUCGCCGCCGACU